rnacentral:rRNA from 1 species
UACGGGGGGGGGCAAGCGUUGUUCGGAAUUACUGGGCGUAAAGGGCUCGUAGGCGGCCAACUAAGUCAGACGUGAAAUCCCUCGGCUUAACCGGGGGAACUGCAUCUGAUACUGGAUGGCUUGAGAUUGGGAGAGGGAUGCGGAAUUCCAGGUGUAGCGGUGAAAUGCGUAGAUAUCUGGAGGAACACCGGUGGCGAAGGCGGCAUCCUGGACCAACACUGACGCUGAGGAGCGAAAGCCAGGGGAGCAAACGGG